rnacentral:rRNA from 1 species
GCCAGACUCCUACGGGAGGCAGCAGUGGGGAAUAUUGCACAAUGGGGGAAACCCUGAUGCAGCGACGCCGCGUGGGCGACGAAGCGCUCCGGCGCGUAAAGCCCUGUCAGCAGGGAAGAACAAAGACAGUACCUGACCAAGAAGCCCCGGCUAACUACGUGCCAGCAGCCGCGGUAAUACGUAGGGGGCAAGCGUUAUCCGGAUUCACUGGGCGUAAAGGGAGCGCAGGCGGCACGCUAAGCCUGAUGUGAAAACCCGCGGCCCAACCGCGGGAGUGCAUUGGGAACUGGCGGGCUAGAGUACCGGAGGGGCAGGCGGAAUUCCUAGUGUAGCGGUGAAAUGCGUAGAUAUUAGGAGGAACACCAGUGGCGAAGGCGGCCUGCUGGACGGAGACUGACGCUGAGGCUCGAAAGCGUGGGGAGCAAACAGGAUUAGAUACCCCUGUAA